GAUGAACGCUAGCGGGAGGCUUAACACAUGCAAGUCGAGGGGCAGCAUAGGGUAGCAAUACUCUGAUGGCGACCGGCAAACGGGUGAGUAACGCGUAUGCAACCUACCCUGUACAGGGGGAUAACCCGGAGAAAUUCGGACUAAUAUCCCGUAAUAAUAUCCGGAGGCAUCUUUGGAUAUUUAAAGUUCCGACGGUACGGGAUGGGCAUGCGUAACAUUAGCUGGUUGGUAAGGUAACGGCUUACCAAGGCUAUGAUGUUUAGGGGUCCUGAGAGGGUGGUCCCCCACACUGGUACUGAGACACGGACCAGACUCCUACGGGAGGCAGCAGUGAGGAAUAUUGGUCAAUGGGCGCAAGCCUGAACCAGCCAUCCCGCGUGCAGGAAGACGGCCCUAUGGGUUGUAAACUGCUUUUCCAGGGAGAGAAACUUACGCACGUGUUGCGUGACUGACGGUACCCUGGGAAUAAGCAUCGGCUAACUCCGUGCAGCAGCCGCGGUAAUCUAGUCUACG
rnacentral:rRNA from 1 species